rnacentral:rRNA from 1 species
ACCCUGGUAGUCCACGCUGUAAACGAUGUCGACUUGGAGGUUGUUCCCUUGAGGAGUGGCUUCCGGAGCUAACGCGUUAAGUCGACCGCCUGGGGAGUACGGCCGCAAGGUUAAAACUCAAAUGAAUUGACGGGGGCCCGCACAAGCGGUGGAGCAUGUGGUUUAAUUCGAUGCAACGCGAAGAACCUUACCUACUCUUGACAUCCAGAGAAUUUAGCAGAGAUGCUUUGGUGCCUUCGGGAACUCUGAGACAGGUGCUGCAUGGCUGUCGUCAGCUCGUGUUGUGAAAUGUUGGGUUAAGUCCCGCAACGAGCGCAACCCUUAUCCUUUGUUGCCAGCGGUUCGGCCGGGAACUCAAAGGAGACUGCCAGUGAUAAACUGGAGGAAGGUGGGGAUGACGUCAAGUCAUCAUGGCCCUUACGAGUAGGGCUACACACGUGCUACAAUGGCAUAUACAAAGAGAAGCGACCUCGCGAGAGCAAGCGGACCUCAUAAAGUAUGUCGUAGUCCGGAUCGGAGUCUGCAACUCGACUCCGUGAAGUCGGAAUCGCUAGUAAUCGUGGAUCAGAAUGCCACGGUGAAUACGUUCCCGGGCCUUGUACACACCGCCCGUCACACCAUGGGAGUGGGUUGCAAAAGAAGUAGGUAGCUUAACCUUC